rnacentral:lncRNA from 1 species
GUCGGGCCAACCGGAGGCGAGAGAUCGGCGGCACACAAGAGCCCUCCCAUGGCGGCGGUGCACCUCCUAACGUCGUGAUGCAAGGCUCAGUAUUUGUCGAGGAGGGCAUCCAGCAGCGGCUAUGCAUGCUCGCCUACAGUACGUAUGAAUCAGGUCCUAAUCCCCAUUCCCGCUCACGUUUCAUGGAGCAAACAGAUGUUUGCUGCCUCUUUUUAUGUAUAAACAAACAAAAUCCAUGUUGUUAUGCUGUUGGCCUUUGUUAAUACUUGCUUACUUCUGAAACCAGGUAUCUGAAUUUGAGGUGAUCGUUUUCUUGCUUACUUCUGAAUCCCGGUAUAUGAUUUUGAGGUGAUGGUUCUCCAUAUUGCAUUGCUUCCAAAUAAAUGUUAAUCCAUUACCUUAGCUGUUAAUCUUCCCUUUGUCAUGUUCUCUUUUAACUUUCAUUAUUCUUUGGGGAUUUUUUUUGGAUUAGUCCAGUUCCAACUGUUAAUCUAGACAUGAAUCGAGAGAUGCAAUAGUCAUCAACAUGUUUAUAGGCUUGUUGGUAGCAGAAUCCGCAUAGAAUUGUGAAAAAACAAAAUCUUGUAUAAAGACUUAGCUAUGGUGCUUGGCACAUAAUAUUUUCUUAUUUGUGCUUCAGAAGGAGUUGUGCAAGAUGUCAAUAUUAUUGUGAAGAUGAAAAACUUCUACCGAAGGCUGAAAGCUUUAUAGUUUUGGGAUUCAUCGGUGGCUUCCAUGAAACAUCAUCUUUUGUUGAG